AAAAAAGGUGCCAGAGAUGAUGGUUUUCCGCAGGAUGUUUGAAAGCUCCCACCCCUUGCUGCCGCCUCUGCUCUCCACCAUGCUUCAGCCACCUGUCGCCCCGCCCAUCGCCUCUGACGUGUUUUGAAUCCCGGAUUUGAUAGAUGUCUGUCUGCUGCUUUUGUCUGUCUGUCAUUUGCUGCUUACUCUUUCGCUUGCUAUAUAAUGAAUAAACUCACA
rnacentral:lncRNA from 1 species